UAGCGUAUAUUAAAGUUGUUGCAGUUAGAACGCUCGUAGUCGGAUUUCGGGGCGGGACGACCGGUCUGCCGAUGGGUAUGCACUGGUGGUCGCGUCCUUCCUUCCGGAGACCGUGCCUACUCUUAACUGAGCGGGUGCGGGAGACGGAUCGUUUACUUUGAAAAAAUCAGAGUGUUUCAAGCAGGCAGCUCGCUCUUGCAUGGAUUAGCAUGGGAUAAUGAAAUAGGACUUUGGUGCUAUUUUGUUGGUUUCGAACACCGAAGUAAUGAUUAACAGGGACAGUCAGGGGCACUCGUAUUCCGCCGAGAGAGGUGAAAUUCUCAGACCAGCGGAAGACGAACUACUGCGAAAGCAUUUG
rnacentral:rRNA from 1 species